GUCUACAUCCAUUCUACUUUGAACAAGCCCAGUCCCAUCUGAUCUCAGAAGCUAAGCAAGGUCGGGCCUGAUUAGUACUUGGAUGGGAGACCACCUAGGAAGACCAGGUGCUGUAGGCG
rnacentral:rRNA from 1 species